AUUGAACGCUGGCGGCGUGCCUAACACAUGCAAGUCGAGCGGUAACAGGUGUAGCAAUACAUGCUGACGAGCGGCGGACGGGUGAGUAACGCUUGGGAAUCUGCCUAUUAGUGGGGGACAACCCGGGGAAACUCGGGCUAAUACCGCAUACGCUCUACGGAGGAAAGCCGGGGACCGCAAGGCCUGGCGCUAAUAGAUGAGCCCAAGUCGGAUUAGCUAGUUGGUAGGGUAAUGGCCUACCAAGGCGACGAUCCGUAACUGGUCUGAGAGGACGACCAGUCACACCGGAACUGAGACACGGUCCGGACUCCUACGGGAGGCAGCAGUGGGGAAUAUUGGACAAUGGCGAAAGCCUGAUCCAGCGUACGCCGCGUGGGUGAAGAAGGCCUGCGGGUUGUAAAGCCCUUUCAGUGGGG
rnacentral:rRNA from 1 species